CAACCAUGUCUUGCUUUUAACAAUGUUGAAAACAGUUAUUUCAGAAAUAUUUUUGUGCAAAUAAUAUUUAUGAAAUGGCAAUAUUUUGUAGCAUUUAAAUGUCUUUAAUACCAUUUUUGAUCAAUAAAGGUUAGAGAAAUACUGAUAGUUGAAUAUGGAAUUAAUAAUCAAGGGUCCAAGUCUUACUUUCAGGCUGUGAGUUGUUCGGUUCACGCUGACAUGUUGAUUAUUAUGCGUAUCUAUGUUGAUUAUAGGUGUAGAUACAAAAAAUGUACAUUGAUUAAUGAUCAUUAAAAUUCAACAUUUCUUGGCUUCAAAACAAGCUUUAUAAAUCAAGUGGUAUAAAUAAAUCCUGGCUGUAAGCCUAUCAUUUUUGUUUCUGCAUAAUCACCACUCCGACACGCUCCCCUGAGGGCAUAAGAUGAUUAAGGCUUUGCAUGGAAUUAUAAAUGAGAUAGGUGGAUAUGUGCUCUUUUUUGACUUCUGGUCCUCUAGGUCUGAAGAUUGAGAUUGGUAUGAUUUAUGUAUCUUAAAAGACAGCCACUAAUGUGAGUAUAAAAGGUCACAUUUGGCCCACUGGAGUUUGGCAAAUUUGAUUAGAUUGCUGUGAGUGUCCUUUCAUCUUCUCAUCACUGCUUCUGGUUUUCUUGGCUUUCAGCCGUAUAAAUGGCCUUUCUGUUCUGAAUAGGAAACUGGCUACCUGUCUGAAAAGAAGACCAACAUCAUGACGAAACAAAAAUAGGAGAGUUCAUUUCUCAAAAGAUUUAUUGGGACCCCCAAUGAGUCCUCAGUUCAUCUAUUUAUAUAUUUCAGAGGUGGUGACAUGUCCCAAUGCUUCUUUCAAUGACCUGACUAGUGUCCAGAAUUAGAGCCAGUGAAGUAGGCUGUUGUGGAAGACAGGGCAGCAGCUGGAGAAUUACUUGGAGAAAAUGGAUAUCAAGAUCACAAAGACUUGUGCUUACAUCAGAAUGUGAGACCAUCUGCACUUCAAUAAAACAAACACCUUGGCGGCUCCCUGAGGGUCCACUUUCCUAACAUCUUCAUCUCAGCACUGAGGAAUGUUUUGAUCACAUUUAGAGCUGCAGGACAUUGAUGAACAUCACCAAGGUACGUGACCUUUUUUAACAAUAGAGGCCACAUAGAGAUGUUUUGUUAUUUUUGAUUUACAUCAAAA
rnacentral:lncRNA from 1 species